AACGAACGCUGGCGGCAUGCCUAACACAUGCAAGUCGAACGAAGGCUUCGGCCUUAGUGGCGCACGGGUGAGUAACGCGUGGGAAACUGCCUAUUGGUGGGGAAUAACGACGGGAAACUGUCGCUAAUACCGCAUAAGCCCUUCGGGGGAAAGAUUUAUCGCCGCUAGAAUUGCCCGCGUCCUAUUAGCUAGUUGGGGAGGUAAUGGCUCACCAAGGCGACGAUCGGUAGCUGGUCUGAGAGGAUUAUCAGCCACACUGGGACGGAGACACGGCCCAGACUCCUACGGGAGGCAGCAGUGGGGAAUAUUGGACAAUGGGCGAAAGCCUGAUCCAGCAAUGCCGCGUGAGUGAUGAAGGCCUUAGGGUUGUAAAGCUCUUUCGGGUGGGACGAUGAUGACGGUACCACCAGAAGAAGCCCCGGCUAACUUCGUGCCAGCCGCCGCCGUAA
rnacentral:rRNA from 1 species